UACGUAGGGGGCAAGCGUUGUCCGGAUUUAUUGGGCGUAAAGAGCGUGUAGGCGGCCAGGUAGGUCGGUUGUGAAAACUCGAGGCUCAACCUCGAGAUGUCGACCGAAACCAUCUGGCUAGAGUCCGGAAGAGGAGAAUGGAAUUCCCGGUGUAGCGGUGAAAUGCGCAGAUAUCGGGAAGAACACCCGUGGCGAAGGCGGUUCUCUGGGACGGUACUGACGCUGAGGAGCGAAAGCGUGGGGAGCGAACAGG
rnacentral:rRNA from 1 species